CCGAGGAAGGCCCAAGUGAGCAGGGAGGACAGACCGCUCGCUCAGCAGGACCGUAAGGAAACGAGAUAAGGGCUGCACAAAAGAAAGGAACUAAAACAUUCUCCUAACUACGGGAAGUUACAAAUGCCUUCUAGACCUGAUUUGUCCAAGUCAUAUGCUUCAAGAAUAUCCAGUUCAGGCAGAAACAAGCAACCAGGGUCUCAUAUAGUCCAGGCUCACUGUGUAGCCAAGAACUCCCGUCCUCACCUCCCAAGUAAGAGAAUGUCCAUCAUCCCACCUGGCUUAUGCAGUGUUAGAUGUUGAAGCCAGGCUUUCC